GUACCAUUGGUCUAGUGGUAGUAUAGUAAUCUGCCACGGUAUAGAUCCGGGUUUGAUUCCUGGCUGGUGCA
rnacentral:tRNA from 1 species